rnacentral:rRNA from 1 species
CCAAUAGCGUAUAUUAAAGUUGUUGCAGUUAAAAAGCUCGUAGUUGAACUUCGGGGUCUACCCAUUGGUCAGGCUUAAUUGUCUGCACUGGUGAGAUGGAUCUCUACCUUCUGAGGAACUUUCAUGCCAUUUAUUUGGUGUGAUGGGAAAUCAGGACUGUUACUUUGAAAAAAUUAGAGUGUUUAAAGCAGACUAUCGUCUGAAUACAUUAGCAUGGAAUAAUGAAAUAGGACGGACUGAUUCUAUUUCGUUGGUUUCUAGGAUCACCGUAAUGAUUAAUAGGGAUAGUUGGGGGCAUUAGUAUUCAAUUGUCAGAGGUGAAAUUCAUGGAUUUAUUGAAGACUAACUACUGCGAAAGCAUUUGCCAAGGAUGUUUUCAUUAAUCAAGAACGAAAGUUAGGGGAUCGAAGACGAUCAGAUACCGUCGUAGUCUUAACCAUAAACUAGGCCGACUAGGGAUCGGACGAAGUUAAUUUUAUAAUGACGCGUUCGGCACCUUACG